rnacentral:ncRNA from 2 species
AUACACUGGCCGCACUCUGGUGCCCGCGCGCGCAAUUCAUUGCGCGUGCAGUUAAACGGGAAGCAGGGCGCGCCGUUCACCUGAACGCGCGAACCUGCGCUGCCCCCGCAACGGUAAGCGACCGCAUUCGCUUUGCACUUCGUGCUUUGCAGUUCGCGUUUGCAGUUCGAUCCCCAUCGCGUGUUCCAGUUCAACAUGCGAGUGUGCCACUGCGCGUCACGCGUGGGAAGGCGGGAUCGAGCGUCGUCAGCCCGGAUACCGGCCAGAGGGAGAGGCGCGCG